rnacentral:tRNA from 1 species
GACAACAUGCCAGAGUGGUUAAUGGGUAUGACUCGAACUACUGUUCUACACUAUCAUAUGGUUUCGGCCGCGGAGGUUCGAGUCCUCCUGUUGUCG